CAGUCGCCACGGGAAUACGUAGGUGGCAAGCGUUGUCCGGAAUUAUUGGGCGUAAAGGGCUCGCAGGCGGUUUCUUAAGUCUGAUGUGAAAGCCCCCGGCUCUACCGGGGAGGGUCAUUGGAAACUGGGAAACUUGAGUGCAGAAGAGGAGAGUGGAAUUCCACGUGUAGCAGUGAAAUGCGUAGAGAUGUGGAGGAACACCAGUGGCGAAGGCGACUCUCUGGUCUGUAACUGACGCUGAGGAGCGAAAGCGUGGGGAGCGAACAGGAUUAGAUACCCGCGUAGUCCCUGUCUCUUAUAC
rnacentral:rRNA from 1 species